UACGUAGGGUGCGAGCGUUAAUCGGAAUUACUGGGCGUAAAGCGUGCGCAGGCGGUUUUGUAAGUCUGUCGUGAAAGCCCCGGGCUCAACCUGGGAAUGGCGAUGGAGACUGCAAGGCUUUGAAUCUGGCAGAGGGGGGUAGAAUUCCACGUGUAGCAGUGAAAUGCGUAGAGAUGAUGGAGGAACACCGAUGGCGAAGGCAGCCCCCUGGGUCAAGAUUGACGCUCAUGCACGAAAGCGUGGGGAGCAAACAGG
rnacentral:rRNA from 1 species